UUGGGGCAGCAGCUGAAGUUGCACGCUAAAUAAUACCUUUGCAACUAUGGCAAGUUGUAAAACAAGUAAGCAGGAGAACACCUGUGUGCCAGACACAACAUAUCUGUGGGCUGGCACAAUUGAGAGACUCUCCUCAGACUUGGAAAUCUGCCUGGCAGAGGGGUGAGAAAGAAGCCAGUCUCGGCUGGAGAAGAUUAAGGCUACCGGUCCCUCAGUGUCCCCCGGGCCCUGUGGACACCCAGCUCCUCAGAUGCUCAAGUCCCCAGGAGACGGGGAGGAGACACAAGGACAGCCUGAGGCGACCGAAAGACGGCAUCAUUUCCAGGUUGACUGCAGGGCUGUCUCCUGCACGCUGUCCCC
rnacentral:lncRNA from 1 species